GUGGGUAUAGCUCAGUGGUAGAAUGAGUGCUUAGCGUGCACGAGGUCCUGGGUUCAAUCCCCAGUAUCUCCA
rnacentral:tRNA from 1 species